AUUGAACGCUAGCGGGAUGCUUUACACAUGCAAGUCGAACGGAGUGGCGGACGGGUGAGUCAUAUAUCGGAACGUGCCCAGUAGAGGGGGAUAACUACUCGAACGAGUGGCUAAUCCCGCAUACUAUUGGAGCGGCCGAUAUCGGAUUAGCUAGUUGGUGGGGUAAAGGCUCACCAGGGCAACGAUCCGGAGCUGGUUUGAGCGGACGACCAUCCAUACUGGGACUGAGCCACGGCUCAGACUCCUACGGGAGGCAGCAGUGGGUAAUUUUGGACAAGGGCGGAAACCCUGCUCCAGCCAUCCCGCGUGUAUGAUGAAGGCUUUCGUGUUGUAAAGUACUUUCAGUGGGGAGGCGUUACCGACAGAAGAAGCACCGGCUAACUCCGUGCCAGCCGCCGCGGUAAUUC
rnacentral:rRNA from 1 species